rnacentral:rRNA from 1 species
GACGAACGCUGGCGGCGUGCUUAACACAUGCAAGUCGAACGGAAAGGCCCUGCUUUUGUGGGGUGCUCGAGUGGCGAACGGGUGAGUAACACGUGAGUAACCUGCCCUUGACUUUGGGAUAACUUCAGGAAACUGGGGCUAAUACCGGAUAGGAGCUCCUGCUGCAUGGGGGGGGUUGGAAAGUUUCGGCGGUUGGGGAUGGACUCGCGGCUUAUCAGCUUGUUGGUGGGGUAGUGGCUUACCAAGGCUUUGACGGGUAGCCGGCCUGAGAGGGUGACCGGCCACAUUGGGACUGAGAUACGGCCCAGACUCCUACGGGAGGCAGCAGUGGGGAAUAUUGCACACUGGGCGGAAGCCUGAUGCAGCAACGCCGCGUGCGGGAUGACGGCCUUCGGGUUGUAAACCGCUUUCGCCUGUGACGAAGCGUGAGUGACGGUAAUGGGUAAAGAAGCACCGGCUAACUACGUG